UGGUAAUGCCGGAUGCUCCAGUUGAUCGCAUGGUCUUCUGGGAAAGCUUUCGCGGUAUGGGAUGGGGUCGCGUCCUAUCAGCUUGACGGCGGGGUAACGGCCCACCGUGGCUUCGACGGGUAGCCGGCCUGAGAGGGCGACCGGCCACAUUGGGACUGAGAUACGGCCCAGACUCCUACGGGAGGCAGCAGUGGGGAAUAUUGCACAAUGGGCGCAAGCCUGAUGCAGCGACGCCGCGUGAGGGAUGGAGGCCUUCGGGUUGUAAACCUCUUUUAUCGGGGAGCAAGCGAGAGUGAGUUUACCCGUUGAAUAAGCACCGGCUAACUACGUGCCAGCAGCCGCGGUAAUACGUAGGGUGCAAGCGUUAUCCGGAAUUAUUGGGCGUAAAGGGCUCGUAGGCGGUUCGUCGCGUCCGGUGUGAAAGUCCAUCGCUUAACGGUGGAUCCGCGCCGGGUACGGGCGGGCUUGAGUGCGGUAGGGGAGACUGGAAUUCCCGGUGUAACGGUGGAAUGUGUAGAUAUCGGAAAAAA
rnacentral:rRNA from 1 species